rnacentral:lncRNA from 1 species
CUGGAGUGUUACAGGUGUAAUUGUCUUUUAGUAAAAAUCACUUUUUAACCUUAUUGUAGUGCCUGUCAUUCACACACACACCUUCGGGAACUUUAUAUUGUGUAAUAUUUCAAAGGUAUGUGCAAAUUUUAUGCUUAAGAUUUUCAAAAAUCACAAAAUUUAAGAUUAUAUUUUUUGUACCAUAUGCAUAAAUUUUAAUAUUUUCACUAAUAUUUUUUUUUGUUUAUUGAAACUUAUUUUUGCAUUAAACCUUUUCAAAUGUUUACACCACCGUGUAAUGGCACUAUCUUCAACAACAUGGGAAAUUUUAGUGCAUCUUAACCCUGUACAUGCAUAUGUUGUAUAAUUGCUUACAUCCACGUCAUUUCGGAUUCUAGUGGAUAGAGAUCUCAUUCUCGAGUCUCAUUGGUAAUCAAAUAACAUCUUAUUUUGAUAUGUUUAUACAUUCAUUGUUAUUUAUUUCAUUUCAUUGAAAGACACAUUUCUGGAGACACAUUUAGUCCUUAGAUUGAUGUUGUAAAUUUGUAAAUAGUUACAAAUGUACUAGAUUGGUUAACCAUGAAGACAAAUCAAUUGUAUAGGGAGGGGGUUGGAGAGAGUGUCAUCUUAAAUUCCCGGAUAAAUAAAUGCUGAAUCCUGUAUUCCCAAAGUAAAACAUUCUUUUACAGAUCUAGGAAAAAAUUAUCAAUUAAAUUCCCGUAAAAGUAAAGACACAAUUCUUACGUCCCAGAAGAGUACUUCUGUGUUCAGUACCUUGUAUAGGUUCAGUGGCAGAUCCAUGGGGGGGGGGGGGUGGGGCAGGAGUUGGAACCCCCUUUUUUUUUGGACCAUCAAUGCAUUUGAAUGGGGACAUGUGGUUGGAACCCCCCUUUAUCCUGGGUUAGGAUUCCCCCUUUUUAAAAUGGCUGGAUCCGCCCCCUGAGGGUUCAGGUUGAUUUAUAUUUGGAAACUGAUCAGUUUCCAUAAAGCUUAGACGAAAAAUCAUAUCAUAUAUAAUUGUUUUUAUAUAAGAUGAAUGAGAGUAUGAAAAUGUUCUACUCCUGUCUAAGGCUGUUAGAUAUUUAUUUGUUUCAUCCUAAAGGCUUUCAGACUUUUUUAAAUAAGUUGAGCUUAAUUGAUUGAUUAUUGGUGGUUAGGGCCACUUUCAGAACACUUUGGUAUUUAAAGGGAUAAAUGAUACUAUGAAUUAGAUGUGAUACGUUUUCAAAUGAGACAACUAUCAGAUAUAAAAAAAUAAGAAUGUGUAGUUCUACUACACAGCAUUGAAUAAACAACCAUCAACUUAACCAAGCUUAAUACAGGCCCUCAGUAUAAAAUGUUAAAUCCUGCAAAAGAAAUGACUAAGAAUUCAGACAUUGAUACAAAACAAAAAUCAAAUAAUCAUUUUACUAUAAUAUACAUUAAUGUACUUUCACUCAAUAAAGGUUAGUCAUCACGUCCUAGAGGCCUUUCUAGCCAUGUGAUCAUAGUAGUUGAACGUACUGUAUCAUAAGCCAAUGUCAGCACUGAGGUUUUGAGUUCCAAUCCAGCAAAUGGCAGGUAUGCUUGAUUCUGAUCUAAUUGACUACUAGGAUUUACAGUUUUCUUACAAAAGGUCUGUGGUUUUCACCUUAACUUCCUGCUUCUUCCUCCAAUAAAAACUGAUUGCUACUAAAAAAAAUCACAAUAGUUCUGGAAUGUGGCAUUAAACAUCAAUCAAUCAUUCCGUCAAUCAUCUGGCCCUAUUAAUUAUUUAACAUUCAUAGACUCUUCUCAAUAUACUUGUUUUAGAGGUUAAGCAAUUGAUGUCAGAGUCAAUCCUUUACAAUAAAGUUCAACAUGCUGACUUUGUUGGUACCAUACUUGUUAGUAAGUUGAAGUAUUCUAAGAAAUAAAAUGUUAGCGUAUUGAAACAAUAAACACAUAUUGGUAAAAUUAUUUAUGACAGUAUGUUAAAGAAGUCCUCAAUAGUUAUUUAUUCUAUUUUUGAAAAAAAACCUUGAAGACAAUUUGAAAGUCCUGUUUGAUAUGAAGUGCACAUGUACAAGUACAUGUUACAUGUGUAUUUGGUGUAUGGUUUAUAUGUCUUUAUAGUGUAUAAGGAAUGCUGUCUUUAUUGCAUUUUGUGGUUUCCAAAUUUGUGGAUUUAGAAAAGGAUUUCACUUUGUUUGAUUCUAUUUUGUGGUUUUGACAUAAGUUCUCCAAAAUCCAUGUAAUUUUAUAGUUCCCAAGGAAUAAUGAUAAAUCCCCAGUACAUAGAUCCCACAUAUCAUUUCCCUUAUUUCUACAAUAAAGUUGAUGAUGGAACUUUUUUGCACUAGUUUAACCUCUAUUGCUUCUGUUCAUUGAACUGAGAUUUUAGAUUGUUCUAGACUUGAUUGAAAACCAAUUAUUGAUGUAACCUGGCAGUUUGGUAAGAAUGUAGUUACAAUCAUUGUCAGUGUGUUAAUCAGAAUUAUUCAUCAGUUAAAGUUAUAUGUUACUAUAAUUUACUUCUGUCUACCAAAAUAACUUUACCAAAAAUCUCUGGUAUUUAGUGGAAUUUUGUUGUGGUAAAGUAAUAAAAAAGAUACAGUAAAGAAUUGUGAAGUAAUUUAGUUUUCUAUAUGUUUUGUUAUGUAUUUUAAAAAUCUGUGAUUUAACAUUGUGAUUGAAAAAAUGAGAAUAACAAUUAUGCAUCAAUUGAAAAAAAAUGUGUACAAUCGAACUUUUCAGUUAAAAAUCAUACCACAUCUUCUUAUAUCUAUUGAAUGAAUUUGACCCUUGACUUUAACUUCAACUUGUACAUACUCUUGUGAUAAUUCUAAAAAUUUUCUUUUUGUAUUCCAGAUAUAUAUUAAUGGUCCUUUAGACUCCUGAAACCUGGGGCUCUUAGCCAAACACUAAAUUCAAGUCACAGCAACAACUUACAGUCCACUCGGAGCUGGAGACAUAACCAGCAGAAUUUAUAG